rnacentral:rRNA from 1 species
UGGGGAAUAUUGCACAAUGGGCGCAAGCCUGAUGCAGCCAUGCCGCGUGUGUGAAGAAGGCCUUCGGGUUGUAAAGCACUUUCAGCGAGGAGGAAGGUGGUGAACUUAAUACGUUCAUCAAUUGACGUUACUCGCAGAAGAAGCACCGGCUAACUCCGUGCCAGCAGCCGCGGUAAUACGGAGGGUGCAAGCGUUAAUCGGAAUUACUGGGCGUAAAGCGCACGCAGGCGGUUUGUUAAGUCAGAUGUGAAAUCCCCGGGCUCAACCUGGGAACUGCAUUUGAAACUGGCAAGCUAGAGUCUCGUAGAGGGGGGUAGAAUUCCAGGUGUAGCGGUGAAAUGCGUAGAGAUCUGGAGGAAUACCGGUGGCGAAGGCGGCCCCCUGGACGAAGACUGACGCUCAGGUGCGAAAGCGUGGGGAGCAAACAGGAUUAGAUACCCCUGAUAGUCCACGCUGUAAACGAUGUCGAUUUUGGAGGUUGUGCCCUUGAGGCGUGGCUUCCGGAGCUAACGCGUUAAA